CCUACGGGGGGCAGCAGUGAGGAAUAUUGGUCAAUGGACGAGAGUCUGAACCAACCAAGUAGCGUGAAGGAUGACUGCCCUAUGGGUUGUAAACUUCUUUUAUAUGGGAAUAAAACGUUCCACGUGUGGGAUUUUGUAUGUACCAUAUGAAUAAGGAUCGGCUAACUCCGUGCCAGCAGCCGCGGUAAUACGGAGGAUCCGAGCGUUAUCCGGAUUUAUUGGGUUUAAAGGGAGCGUAGGUGGAUUGUUAAGUCAGUUGUGAAAGUUUGCGGCUCAACCGUAAAAUUGCAGUUGAAACUGGCAGUCUUGAGUACAGUAGAGGUGGGCGGAAUUCGUGGUGUAGCGGUGAAAUGCUUAGAUAUCACGAAGAACUCCGAUUGCGAAGGCAGUUCACUGGACUGCAACUGACACUGAGGCUCGAAAGUGUGGGUAUCAAACAGGAUUAGAUACCCGAGUAGUC
rnacentral:rRNA from 1 species